GCAUAUCAAUAAGCGGAGGAAAAGAAACUAACAAGGAUUCCCCUAGUAACGGCGAGUGAACCGGGAAAAGCUCAAAUUUGAAAUCUGGCGUCCUCAGGGCGUCCGAGUUGUAAUCUAUAGAAGCGUUUUCCGUGCCGGACCGUGUCCAAGUCCCUUGGAACAGGGUAUCAAAGAGGGUGACAAUCCCGUACUUGACACGACUACCGGUGCUCUGUGAUACGUUUUCUACGAGUCGAGUUGUUUGGGAAUGCAGCUCAAAAUGGGUGGUGAGUUCCAUCUAAAGCUAAAUAUUGGCGAGAGACCGAUAGCGAACAAGUACCGUGAGGGAAAGAUGAAAAGCACUUUGGAAAGAGAGUUAAACAGUACGUGAAAUUGUUGAAAGGGAAACGAUUGAAGUCAGUCGUGACCGAGAGGCUCAGCCGGCUCUGCCGGUGUAUUCCCCUCGGUCGGGUCAACAUCAGUUUUGUCCGGUGGAUAAGGGCGGUAGGAAGGUGGCACCCACGGGUGUGUUAUAGCCUGCCGUCGCAUACACUGGGUGAGACUGAGGAAUGCAGCUCGCCUUUAUGGCCGGGGUUCGCCCACGUCCGAGCUUAGGAUGUUGACAUAAUGGCUUUAAACGACCCGUCUUGAAACACGGACC
rnacentral:rRNA from 1 species